rnacentral:rRNA from 1 species
AGAGUUUGAUCCUGGCUCAGAAUGAACGCUGGCGGCGUGCUUAACACAUGCAAGUCGAACGGUAACAGGAGGAAGCUUGCUUCUUUGCUGACGAGUGGCGCACGGGUGAGUAAUGCAUAGGUAACGUGCCCCUUAGUCUAGGAUAGCCACUGGAAACGGUGAUUAAUACUGGAUACUCCUUCUUCCUUAAUGGAAGUUGGGAAAGUUUUUCGCUAAGGGAUCGGCCUAUGUUGUAUCAGGUAGUUGGUGAGGUAAUGGCUCACCAAGCCUAUGACACAUAGCGGGUCUGAGAGGAUGAUCCGCCACACUGGUACUGAGACACGGACCAGACUCCUACGGGAGGCAGCAGUGGGGAAUAUUGCACAAUGGACGAAAGUCUGAUGCAGCAACGCCGCGUGGAGGAUGACACAUUUCGGUGCGUAAACUCCUUUUAUAUGAGAAGGUAAUGACGGUAUCAUAUGAAUAAGCACCGCUAACU